rnacentral:rRNA from 1 species
CGGAGGAAAGAAACCAACAGGGAUUACCUCAGUAACGGCGAGUGAAGCGGUAAAAGCUCAAAUUUGAAAUCUGGCUCUUUUAGAGUCCGAAUUGUAAUUUGUAGAAGAUGCUUCGGGUGUGGUUCCGGUCUAAGUUCCUUGGAACAGGACGUCAUAGAGGGUGAGAAUCCCGUAUGUGACUGGAUACCUAUGCUCAUGUGAAGCUCUUUCGACGAGUCGAGUUGUUUGGGAAUGCAGCUCAAAAUGGGAGGUAUAUUUCUUCUAAAGCUAAAUAUUGGCCAGAGACCGAUAGCGCACAAGUAGAGUGAUCGAAAGAUGAAAAGCACUUUGGAAAGAGAGUUAAACAGUACGUGAAAUUGUUGAAAGGGAAGCGCUUGCAAUCAGACUUGCACUUGGUGUUCAUCAGGGUCUCGUACCCUGUGUACUUCAUCAAGUUCAGGCCAGCAUCAGUUUGAGUGGUUAGAUAAAGGCUUAGAGAAUGUGGCCCUCUUCGGGGGGUGUUAUAGCUCUAGGUGCAAUGUAGCCUACUUGGACUGAGGACCGCGCUUCGGCUAGGAUGCUGGCGUAAUGGUUGUAAGCGACCCGUCUUGAAACACGGACCAAGGAGUGUACCUAAUAUGCGAGUGUUUGGGUGUUAAACCCAUACGCGUAAUGAAAGUGAACGCUGGUGAGAACCCUUAAGGGUGCAUCAUCGACCGAUCUUGAUGUCUUCGGAUGGAUUUGAGUAAGAGCAUAUUGGGUGCGACCCGAAAGAUGGUGAUCUAUACGUGAAUAGGGUGAAGCCAGAGGAAACUCUGGUGGAGNCUCGCAGCGGUUCUGACGUGCAAAUCGAUCGUCAAAUUUGCGUAUAGGGGCGAAAGACUAAUCGAACAUC